rnacentral:rRNA from 1 species
UACGUAGGGGGCUAGCGUUGUCCGGAUUUAUUGGGCGUAAAGAGCGUGUAGGCGGCCAGGUAGGUCUGCUGUGAAAACUCGAGGCUUAACCUCGAGAUGUCGGCGGAAACCAUCUGGCUAGAGUCCGGAAGAGGAGAGUGGAAUUCCUGGUGUAGCGGUGAAAUGCGUAGAUAUCAGGAGGAACACCUGUGGCGAAAGCGGCUCACUGGACCAUAACUGACGCUGAUGCACGAAAGCUAGGGGAGCAAACAGG